rnacentral:lncRNA from 1 species
AUGCAAAGCUUGGUAUCAUUCCGCUAAUUUAAAGCCGGAUCCCCUUACACUACGCUCUAGCUCCUCCCACUGCAGCUUUUGGUGCUGGGGACGUGGCAAAAGUCUGCGGAAGAAAAGGUCCAACUUCAGUGGCAGAUCUGGUGGCCUUGGAGUGGCUGAAGACCACCACCCUCCACAGGGCUGCGCUCAUGCACAGAGCCAUCCUUCCUUUCUCUGAGUGAGCUUCCUCUGCACAUUGUUUAUAUCAUUGGCAGAGCUUGUAGUUGGAAAGGGGGCUGAGUGACAAAUGGACUUUGUAUGAAAACACCAGCCUGAGACAGACCUUCAGUCAAGUCUGAAACGGGGUUGGGGGUAUAGAACUUGGCCUUGUCUUUAACUUGGAUCAUGACUGGCUCUGAGGCUAAGGCAGGGGCAGAGGAGGGUCUGAGGUUUGCCUGAAAGCUGGAAUCAGUGGCCCUGCCAACCCUAGAGCCAAGGCUAAUAUCCAGGCCAAGGCAGUGGCUGAGGCAGAACUGAAAACAGGACCAGUGACCAGGGCCAAGCCUGGGGAUGGAGCAGUGGCCAGGACACAGACAGUGA